rnacentral:rRNA from 1 species
AUUGAACGCUGGCGGCAUGCCUUACACAUGCAAGUCGAACGGUAACAGGUCUUCGGAUGCUGACGAGUGGCGAACGGGUGAGUAAUACACCGGAACGUGCCUAGUAGUGGGGGAUAACUACUCGAAAGAGUGGCUAAUACCGCAUGAGAUCUACGGAUGAAAGCAGGGGAUCGCAAGCCCUUGUGCUACUAAAGCGGCCGAUGGCAGAUUAGGUAGUUGGUGGGAUAAAAGCUCACCAAGCCGACGAUCUGUAGCUGGUCUGAGAGGACGAUCAGCCACACUGGGACUGAGACACGGCCCAGACUCCUACGGGAGGCAGCAGUGGGGAAUUUUGGACAAUGGGCGCAAGCCUGAUCCAGCAAUGCCGCGUGCAGGAUGAAGGCCUUCGGGUUGUAAACUGCUUUUGUACGGAACGAAAAGCCCUGGGUUAAUACCCUGGGGUCAUGACGGUACCGUAAGAAUAAGCACCGGCUAACUACGUGCCAGCCGCCGCGGUAAUAC